AAAAAAAGUAGUUUCAUAUUUGUGAAAUAAUUUCUUAAAAUGAUUCAGUUUAUAGUGACGAGCUUCACCUAGAAAUGGGUUCACCAAGUUAUGGUUCGCCAUACUUCGCCAUUUCAGCCCAUUUCAAUCAGCUGGUUGUAUUUUGACAAUUCAUCGCAAACAGCCCAGUACAGCUGAUGGCUCAGUUUGCGCUGUCUUUUCUUAAUUAUCUCAGCAAGAUUGAAAAGGCGGGAAAGCGAAGGUUAACCUUGGCUUAUUAAAGAAAGCUUUGGACUUGUCAAUCUACUGUCCGGGAGCGUUUAGCACUAGACGAUUAUGUUGAUGCUUCAGGUCGGGUGCAGAGAACUGCGGUCAAACUAGUUGCCCUUCCAAAAACCGGAAAACGCUUUACGAACAUACUUUAAUACCAUUAACGGGCUUUACUUUUUCCAUCAAUAAAGCUGCUAAACAGCUUAGGAGAGUAAGCAGGAGAAGUGGAUGUUGCAUCCGUGACAUAUCCCGGCUGCUCUUCUUUGGAGCAUAAUAGCCUCAAUGACGAGUGGCAUGAUGACAAUUCGUGUUUCAAUUUUUGGUCGACUUUUUGUCGUCUCUUUUCGUUUGGCGAUUCUUUAUGCGGUGCCAAAUUAUUUUGGGUCAUUUACGUCAAGAACAAAGAUCAAGGCGCAAAUUUUCGUUUAAAUUUGGGAUAACCAAACAAUAAUCUUCCCGCCCAACAAUUCAAUGCUCUCUCGCCAAAGAAAAGAUUUCCUAUUCCUUGAAUAGUCAGCUACACCACACCUUUUGUUGAAUGCAAGGUUUUUUUCACGGUGUACAAAAAUAUUUAUGUGCUUUUAAAGAAAUAACUCUGACGCAAAAUACGAAGUAAAAGUUUUCUAGGGGUGUGCUUUGGAUAAUCACUUUUGUCGGCUGUUUAAUCUAUGUGGUGGCUUUCUGUCAACAAAAGAUGGUUCUGAAACUACUUUGCAAAACGCGAUUUUCAAUUAGUUUUUAAAUCUGUCGACAUGAAAUAAAUGUCGAAAUUAGCGCGAUUUUCCACGAAGAACCUAGAAAAAGGAUUGUACCCACAGGUAUAAAAUCCAAGCGAUUUAGUAAAAAGUUGCCUUGUCCUCACUUCAGCUUUCUAACGCUGCCGAGCAGGUGGCUGUGUAUAUAUAACCUUUAUCUUAAUCUUUCCCUUUUCUCCCGAAGGAACGAUAUCUUCCGUCUAGUUGUUGUUGUUGUUUUUCAUCAAGUGAAUGUUUUUUUGUACUUUUUCCAGCGCCAAAACCAUUCAAGGCGUAAAUAUGUUGGAAGAGAAAUUCUUCAUAGCAAAUCGUACAGGAUGUAAUCAAAGCGUGGUCGACACUUCACGCUUAGAAAUGCUCCCUAGUCACCUUUAUCGAUUCACUCUUUUCCUAGUUACCUUCGAUUUAUCUUGCUGUCAGACUGUUAUAAGGUGCCGUAUCUUAUAGCAGUUGACUUCAAAUGAGUAAAUAAAAAGCACGCGGUUCUCUUUAAGGGUAAGCGUUCAGUUUUAAGGAUAGUUUUAUUCUUUUAUUCGACUGUCGAUGCCGCCAUGACUAUUAAUAUGCCGUGUGUCGGUUGUGUUGACUUAAAUUUGAAAAGGCCCUGAGUUAUAAGCUUUGACAUUUCUCUAGAGUAGCGAUCAACGCACAUUUACCGCACAAUUAAGGAGGGAGCCGAAUGGCCAGGCCAGCUUCGAUUUUUUACCGGCAAAUGAGUGAUGAACCUUGCGAAGGGUGUUCAAUCGGCUUUUUGUCCCGUCGCAAAGAAGCAAAGGGCCAGUUUAAAACGACAACGCAGAAUAAAUGACGCCAAUGAUGUUUACAGAAAGAAAAAAACAAGAAAGCACUCACUAGAGUGAUCAAAUAUGGCCAAAAUAGUCUUCGUUCGUCAAUGUGGACUCCGCUAGUGGCUUCGCGGACUGUUGAUGGAUAAGCUUUCUCCCCUUAAUAUCAACUUGCUCGAAGGAAAAACGAAACUGGGGAUGUGGGACACUUCAGAGCUUCGCAAUCAUAGACUAAUUAUUUUGAAGUGCGGAGUUGCUCUAUUCCUUCAUACAAGUCGUAAAACUGACUCCUCAUGCCGAAUAUUCCCAUGUUAUUUGGUAUCUAGGAUAAGCCGUCUGAACGUUCUUUAUUUCAAGAGGUUGGUUAUUUGAUAGCGAUGGAAAGCGAAAAAGCUGUCCAAAAUGUCCGCAUCUGUCUGUCAGAACAGUGGCUUGAAGAAAGCGGAUGAAAGGCGACCGAAAACAAACUUAACAUACCAAAAACACCAAGCAAACGAGAAGAAUUUGUUGUAACUUUAAAAUCGCGUUUUUUCGACUAUUUUGUUUCUCUAAAUUUUGGCUCUCACAAACUACGUCUUAUUUCGACUAAAAACUCCAAGAUAUGAGACAAUUUUUUUUUAACCUGAGGGCCCGGGCUUUACGAUUGAGAUGAAUGGUGACUGCCGCUAAAGAAGUUUGCUUUUCACCUUUGAAUCAUAGUACCGAUAUGGCGGAGAAACAACUGUGAUAUCAGGCAAAUAAGAAUUCCAGUUGGACCAUAAUGGGUUGUUUGGUCUAGGAAUUGGAAGCGAAUCAGAAGGCCGUUUGUUCUCAUGUUACUUCGGAUUUAAGGUUACAACAAUCCACCUUCACUGCUUUCCAAUGCCUAAAGCAACUGCUUGCUGCCAUCAAGAGCCGAGGAAACAGGCCAGCUCAUCAAAAACGAUGACAUUUGAAUCACACAUUAGGAUCACAACGAAAAAGCUACUUGACAUCCAUAAAACCAACACAGUCAGAAAGCGUCUGAAUUGAAUCGAAUAAUAAAGUUUAAAAUAAAGCCUAGAAUUGCGCUGAA